AGGGGGCCUACCAUGAACUUUCUUAAAACAAUCCAGUUGAGAUGCAGUUGAGUUUAGGUACCUAAAGUCAAUCGCAUUUUUUCGUACCAUGACCGCCUAUAAGCUGAAUCGUAUUUGCAUCGCAAGACCGAAUGAAAGAACGAUAAUUUUGUUUGUGGUUUCUAUCUUAAACCUGACAAACUCGCUGAAUUGAGAGAAGAAAAUAUAUAAAUGAAUAUAUGUUCAUAUCCAAUUGAACAUUGCCUGAUUCAAGACAAGACAAGACAAGAUUUUUCUAUCUUGAUGGAGUCAUCCUAACUAAAUAAAUACUGUUAUUGUAAUACUUUCAAA